rnacentral:lncRNA from 1 species
CUGUUGGGAAUCUACUUAUACAUGCACAGCGGAAUUUAAAAUAUAUUUCGAUUCCCAUCCAAUAGAUCUCAUUGUGUUUGAUUAGGAAUUGUGAUAAGAUUGUACCUUUUCCAGAUCUGCAAUCCUUUUGCUUUUCUUUUCGUUCCACAACUUUGAUUCGCCACCACAGCUGUCCAAUUGUCCAGCCUCCAACGGUGAUCCACACAGAGAAUUUGAUUGCAGCCUCUAGGGUUUUCUCUUGUGCUAGCAAGAAUAAUGAAAACCUUAAUGGACCUCAAACCCUAGUUAUGUAUUUAUAUAAACCCAAAUAGGC